GACUUUUUAGUUUAAUAAAAAUAUGGGUUUUGUAAACCUAAGAUAAUUUUAUAUUAUUAGUCU
rnacentral:tRNA from 1 species